rnacentral:rRNA from 1 species
AGUGAACGCUGGCGGUAGGCCUAACACAUGCAAGUCGAACAGCAGCACAGUAAGAGCUUGCUCUUACGGGUGGCGAGUGGCGGACGGGUGAGGAAUACAUCGGAAUCUACUUUUUCGUGGGGGAUAACGUAGGGAAACUUACGCUAAUACCGCAUACGACCUACGGGUGAAAGCAGGGGAUCUUCGGACCUUGCGCGAUUGAAUGAGCCGAUGUCGGAUUAGCUAGUUGGCGGGGUAAAGGCCCACCAAGGCGACGAUCCGUAGCUGGUCUGAGAGGAUGAUCAGCCACACUGGAACUGAGACACGGUCCAGACUCCUACGGGAGGCAGCAGUGGGGAAUAUUGGACAAUGGGCGAAAGCCUGAUCCAGCCAUACCGCGUGGGUGAAGAAGGCCUUCGGGUUGUAAAGCCCUUUUGUUGGGAAAGAAAAGCAGCAGGUUAAUACCCCGCUGUUCUGACGGUACCCAAAGAAUAAGCACCGGCUAACUUCGUG